rnacentral:rRNA from 1 species
UACAGAGGUCUCAAGCGUUGUUCGGAUUCACUGGGCGUAAAGGGCGCGUAGGCGGCCUGCUAAGUCGGACGUGAAAUCCCCCGGCUCAACCGGGGAACUGCGUCCGAUACUGGUGGGCUCGAAUCCGGGAGAGGGAUGUGGAAUUCCAGGUGUAGCGGUGAAAUGCGUAGAUAUCUGGAGGAACACCGGUGGCGAAGGCGGCAUCCUGGACCGGUAUUGACGCUGAGGCGCGAAAGCCAGGGGAGCAAAGCGGG